AUUGAACGCUGGCGGCAGGCCUAACACAUGCAAGUCGAACGAGUGGCGGACGGGUGAGUAAUGUCGGGGAAACUGCCUGAUGGAGGGGGCAAACUAGUGGAAACGGUAGCUAAUAGAGCAUAACAUCCGAUGUGCCCAGAUGGGAUUAGCUAGUUGGUGGGGUAACGGCUCACCAAGGCGACGAUCCCUAGCUGGUCUGAGAGGAUGACCAGCCACACUGGAACUGAGACACGGUCCAGACUCCUACGGGAGGCAGCAGUGGGGAAUAUUGCACAAUGGGCGAAAGCCUGAUGCAGCCAUGCCGCGUGUAUGAAGAAGGCCUUCGGGUUGUAAAGUACUUUCAGCGGGGAGGCGUUACCCGCAGAGGAAGCCCCGGCUAACUCCGUGCCAGCAGCCGCGGUAAUUC
rnacentral:rRNA from 1 species